rnacentral:rRNA from 1 species
UACGUAGGGUGCAAGCGUUAAUCGGAAUUACUGGGCGUAAAGCGUGCGCAGGCGGUUUUGUAAGUCUGUCGUGAAAGCCCCGGGCUCAACCUGGGAAUUGCGAUGGAGACUGCAAGGCUUGAAUCUGGCAGAGGGGGGUAGAAUUCCACGUGUAGCAGGUGAAAUGCGUAGAGAUGAUGGAGGAACACCGAUGGCGAAGGCAGCCCCCUGGGUCAAGAUUGACGCUCGAUGCACGAAAGCGUGGGGAGCAAACAGG